AACGAACGCUGGCGGCAGGCCUAACACAUGCAAGUCGAGCGCUCUCUUCGGAGGGAGCGGCGGACGGGUUAGUAACGCGUGGGAAUGUACCCUUCUCUAAGGAAUAGCCAUUGGAAACGAUGAGUAAUACCUUAUACGCCCCCCGGGUCAAACUGGGGGGAAAGAGUUUAUCGGAGAGGGAUCAGCCCGCGUAAGAUUAGAUAGUUGGUAGGGUAAUGGCCUACCAAGGCGACGAUGCGUAGCCGACCUGAGAGGGUGAUCGGCCACACUGGGACUGAGACACGGCCCAGACUCCUACGGGAGGCAGCAGUAGGGAAUCUUAGACAAUGGGCGCAAGCCUGAUCUAGCCAUGCCGCGUGUGUGAUGAAGGUCUUAGGAUCGUAAAGCACUUUCGCCAGGGAUGAUAAUGACAGUACCUGGUAAAGAAACCCCGGCUAACUCCGUG
rnacentral:rRNA from 1 species